UGGAGUUGCCUCUGUCCUGGCCUUGAAUCUGUGCUCCAGGGGUGCCUGUUUCCUGGACAGCUUUCCUGGUGCUCCAGAGGGUUCACAUCACCUUGAUUCAAGACACAAACCUGUUUGGAAGCACUGCUAGGAAUAGCUGUGUUWGUGUUUUUGGCUUUGGAGGAACAUCUUCAGGAAUGGCAGUGAACCUGGGCGAUCCUUCAUCUUCCUGACUUCAUCCUCCUGCCCACAAACUUCCUUAAUGUUUCACCCUUUCUGUGUGCUGUCUUUGAGUGGUCUGCAGAAGAGCAAGAUGCAGCAAACUGAUCAGCUGCUUUGGAGAAGUUUCUUAAGCCAACGAAGCAAACUGGAAGAACGGCUGGAGGCAGCUCUGCUCUUCCUCAGGCCCCUUGCAGCAUCACACACUUCACUGACCUGUCCCUGGAACUGAGCAUCUGAUUCUGUAUCUGCAGAGGAUCCAAUCCUGACCCUGUCGCUUGGAAUGGAUGGAGACCACGCUGGCCAAGGAGCUCACCAGGCUACUUAAAAUACAUGUGGCUCUGUGUCAGUUUUGAUGUACUCUCAGAUUACCUGGACCCUCUUGAAAGCUGUGAACAGUCCUGCAGUUUCCCAUCAAGCUGAAUGUCACAUUACUAAGACUAUAAUAUAGAGCAGCUGAAAAGGUAAAAAUGCUCUGUGAACAAAGGCUUCAGUAAUGAACUAUGACAUUAAGAACUAAAAUCAGGAUAUAUUUGCUUUGGAGGUAAGAACAAGGCAUAAUAAUACUUUCGGGUUUAUUUCCCACUCAGAGGACAGGAUACCAUUCAUACUCAUUCUGUUUUUGUGCUUAGAUGCAAACCUGAAUCAAGCCAGAGAGACCUUGUUUUGUAGAGAUGUUAAGUGACUUUUCUUUUUCUAAUAAAAGGGCUCUGCUAAGUAAUUCUGACCAUUUAAUUGGAAAAUACUCUGCACUGCUCUGCCUGACC